AGCGUAGACGGCAAGGCAAGUCUGAAGUGAAAGCCCGGUGCUUAACGCCGGGACUGCUUUGGAAACUGUUUGGCUGGAGUGCCGGAGAGGUAAGCGGAAUUCCUAGUGUAGCGGCGAAAUGCGUAGAUAUUAGGAAGAACACCAGUGGCGAAGGCGGCUUACUGGACGGUAACUGACGUUGAGGCUCGAAAGCGUGGGGAGCAAACA
rnacentral:rRNA from 1 species